rnacentral:rRNA from 1 species
UACAGAGGGGGCAAGCGUUGUUCGGAAUUACUGGGCGUAAAGGGCGCGUAGGCGGCCUGAUAAGUCGAACGUGAAAUCCCCGGGCUCAACCCGGGAACUGCGUCCGAUACUGGCAGGCUUGAAUCCGGGAGAGGGAUGCGGAAUUCCAGGUGUAGCGGUGAAAUGCGUAGAUAUCUGGAGGAACACCGGUGGCGAAGGCGGCAUCCUGGACCGGCAUUGACGCUGAGGCGCGAAAGCCAGGGGAGCAAACGGG